rnacentral:misc_RNA from 1 species
UUUUUUUUUUUUUUUUUCUCCCUUCUAACUGUAAAUUUUGAUAUAUAUGUAGUUUAUUUUUCAUCUGUUACAUUACCAUGAAGGAGUUAUAAUAGAAAUGCUUUCAAUGAGCCACCUGCUGAAUUAGUAACAUAGAUCAUGAUUAGAAAUAAAUUGAAUGGUUUUCGGAUAUAAGAGAUACAGUUGAUUGCUCUUGAAGGACAAAUGCUAUUGACUGAGGCUUUAAGAGUCACAUACUACUUUUACAUCUCUUAACCUGUGCUUGGGAGGUAGGUGAAAGUGUGGGAAAGAAAGGGAGUGAGAGAAAAUCAAGGGAAAGAAUCAUCUCUUGACCUGUUUGGAAGAAGGAGAGGUAGGGAGGAGAAGAGAAAAUGUGUUAAAAGUAGUCAUCUGGGCCCACUAAAAAUUUUCACCUGGAUUUGAGGUGAAAAGCUUGGGAAAGAUGGUUCUUAAAUUUUAAAUUUAAGGUCUACGCAUUUAACCCUAAAACUAUUAUAUAAUUACGUUUGAAAUGUUUUUAUUUUAUAAUAUGAGUAAAGGGUAAAAUAGUAAUUGUAUUAUCAAAUAUUUCUUCCCAACCCACAGAAAAUUGAUGUUCUCGCAUUUUCUCCCCCUCUCUCUUUCACCUCAUUCCAAACAAGGGAGGAGAAAUGAGUAUUCU